rnacentral:lncRNA from 1 species
ACAUAUGGGUGGUCACUGAGAAGAGGACAACUGGCUACAAAUAUCAACAGGCUUUAACAGUCUUCUUUCCUUCAAGUCCAGUUCUUUGAAAGUCCAAAUUUGCUCUGAACUGACUUCAAGCAAGUGCCCACUCUUGAACAAAUUACUGAGGCUGGAGGAUAAAGACACAAAUUGGCCAAACUUGGAUUACCUGCCUUCUGCAUCUUAAAGGAGUCAGUCCCAACUACAAAUUUAAGAGGAUCACAGAAACACCCACAAACUUACGAGGAUCACAGAAAACACCCCUACACCAACUUAUAGCCAAUCUAUUCAACCUGCAUUGUUAGCAGGCUGUGAAACCUCAGUUGUAACAUCAAUAAAAUGGGAAGAACAAAAAAGUUGCUGUGAAGAUAAAAUGAGUAAUGAUGGAAUAGUCUGUGGUCGAGUGCAGAAAUACUAUUACCUGUUCCUGGAGGCAAAGAUUAAAGGAAUAGACACCUUCCUCAGCCAGAAUGACCCAGGCCAGGAGCCACAGUGUCAACUUGGAAAAUUUCUCCUUCCUCAUCUCCACAUCAUGUCUGCAGCCUUAACUGCUUGACACCUGACAACUACUCUUAUCUCCAUUGUGUUGUUUUGUUUUGUGUCAUGAUCUUUUUGAAUGUGC